UGCUAGUAAUUAACACGAUCGUUUCAGAAACGCGCUGGUGCUUCUUACUCGCAAAUGUUCGCGUUCUUCUUUUCUCUGGGACUUUCAGUCCUCAUUGCUGAGUUUUGUGGCGCUCUGAUGAUCACACAAACUCCCAAAAUACUGCUGGUCAGGAGAGAAGCUGCAGUUAUAACAUGCCAACACACAGAGAGCGGGUACCAUAAUAUGCUCUGGUACCGCCAGAAGAAGGGGGAUGCACUGCUGCUCAUGGCCAGCUCAGUUACUGGCUAUUCAACCACAUACGAGGACGGCUUUAAGAAACAUGGCCUAGAGGUGACCAGACCAGAAGCCACUAGAUCUCUGCUCAACAUCUCCAUUGUAAGUAAAGAAGAUGAGGCGAUGUAUUUCUGUGCCGCUUCUAUGCACGGUAUAACAAAAUACUGCCGUGUAUUGCAAAAUGUCCCCAUCUGGAGCACACUUAGUGUAGUGUAGUGUUAAUUAUCAGGGAAAACAAAAAGAGACACCUCUGGUAAUAACGUGUUACGUGUGUAUAAUAAAUUCCAGAAUAUGACUUUAUUUCAACAAGGUUUCAGUAAGAUAUAUGAUUGAACCUGACAUGCGAACAGAUUAUGUGCCCUUUUAAGAAAUACAAGCCUGGAAAAUUUCCAAUUGAAAUUUCCAGUGGAAAUUUAGAAAGACACAGACUGACCGAAAUGGCACUUGAUCUGGUUUACGCUAACCUUAUAGUCCGUUGAUGAUCUGGAUCAGACCAUGGGGUUAAUCAGUCUCUU